rnacentral:rRNA from 1 species
UACGUAGGCAGCGAGCGUUGUUCGGAGUUACUGGGCGUAAAGCGUGCGUAGGCGGUGUCUUAAGUUUGUUGUGAAAUCUCCCGGCUUAACCGGGAGGGUGCGGCGAAUACUGAGAUGCUGGAGUGCCGGAGAGGUAAGCGGAAUUCCUGGUGUAGCGGUGAAAUGCGUAGAUAUCAGGAGGAACACCUGAGGUGAAGACGGGUUGCUGGGCUGACACUGACGCUGAGGCGCGAAAGCCAGGGGAGCAAACGGG